UGGGGAAUUUUGCGCAAUGGGCGAAAGCCUGACGCAGCAACGCCGCGUGCGGGAUGAAGGCCUUCGGGUUGUAAACCGCUUUCAGCAGGGAUGAGACUGACAGUACCUGCAGAAGAAGCCCCGGCUAACUACGUGCCAGCAGCCGCGGUAAUACGUAGGGGGCAAGCGUUAUCCGGAUUCAUUGGGCGUAAAGCGCGCGUCGGCGGCUUGUUAAGCGAGGUGUGAAAACCGGGGGCUCAACCCGCGGCCUGCACCUCGAACUGGCAGGCUUGAGUCUGGUAGAGGAAAGUGGAAUUCCUGGUGUAGCGGUGACAUGCGCAGAUAUCAGGAGGAACACCAGUGGCGAAGGCGGCUUUCUGGGCCACGACUGACGCUGAGGCGCGAAAGCUAGGGGAGCAAACAG
rnacentral:rRNA from 1 species